rnacentral:rRNA from 1 species
GAUGAACGCUGGCUGCGUGCCUAAUACAUGCAAGUCGAGCGAACGGACGAGAAGCUUGCUUCUCUGAUGUUAGCGUCGGACGGGUGAGUAACACGUGGAUAACCUACCUAUAAGACUGGGAUAACUUCGGGAAACCGGAGCUAAUACCGGAUAAUAUUUUGAACCGCAUGGUUCAAAAGUGAAAGACGGUCUUGCUGUCACUUAUAGAUGGAUCCGCGCUGCAUUAGCUAGUUGGUAAGGUAACGGCUUACCAAGGCAACGAUGCAUAGCCGACCUGAGAGGGUGAUCGGCCACACUGGAACUGAGACACGGUCCAGACUCCUACGGGAGGCAGCAGUAGGGAAUCUUCCGCAAUGGGCGAAAGCCUGACGGAGCAACGCCGCGUGAGUGAUGAAGGUCUUCGGAUCGUAAAACUCUGUUAUUAGGGAAGAACAGAUGUGUAAGUAACUGUGCACAUCUUGACGGUACCUAAUCAGAAAGCCACGGCUAACUACGUG